CGCAGCUUUGUGGGGCACCGGACCCUUAACGGGAACAGACAGAUCUGUGGAAGUCAUUUUUUGGUAGCGGUGUGGGAUGAUGCACAAUCAGAACUCUCACCGAUUCCCAGGGCAACAUCGAAGCCCUGGGCACAGCACCGCCUCUCUCAGUGCGCUGAAGUGAUUUACUCGCCUCCCAGGUCCCCCAGAUUGGAGAAGCUUGCAUAGCCUUCCGAUAGACAGAAUGUAGAUCUAGUGUUCCCAUCCCCUCUGUCGGUGAAGAAACUUCGCGAAGCUGUCCGUGAUUGGCUUCAGUUCCAGGCCACUCUACGCAAAAUUUGAGCAUAGUUUAUUCUUGGGUACAAAAAUAGCUAGCAUUUAAGUAGUAACUUGAUAUAUAUUGUUUUGUUUGAUCCUCACAACAAUUUUGGGAAGUAAGUGCUACUAUUAUUCCUAUUUUACAGAUAAAGAAAUAGGUUGAGGUUACGUUAAAUGACAUGCUCAGAGUCUCACAACUAAUAAGGGUCCGAGGCUGCAUUUGAGCACUUCUUCCUUACGCAAGGUCCAGUAUUCUAUCUAUUGCCUUCUAUGGGAACCAAAAAAUGUAGUAAUUGUAUAGUAUCGAUCUCUAGUCUACUGACCAGCCCAGCAGCACUGGGUCUGAAUGUUUAUCACUGGUAGGUGCGGAUCACUCUUUUCCUCCCUGCCCCCCCAAAAUCUUGGCGAUCGGAUAGGGUAAAGAGCCGUAUAUCAGGCAGUGUGACUCAGCUGUAGUCAUCUGGGUCACCCUCUCCCGGGAUAAUGAGAAAAGGUCACCCCUCUCCACCCACAGAUUAUUCGGAACUGUGAAGGUCAUCUGAAAGGAGACCCCAGCCAGUCUACUGGAGUCAGUCCUGGCCUCCGCAUAAGCAGGACUUGUAUUCCAGCUCAGAGAAGAUGGAGAAUGUCAGGAAAAAGGAGGGUAGGAUGUAACUAAAUCACGCAGACAGUGCUACAAGUGUCCCUUUUCCGAAGCGGGGGAGGGGCGUUCAGGGAACUGUUAGCCUACCAGGCCAGUAAGUCAUCAGCCUGGGAAGCAGCUCGUGGAGCUCUGUGAGAACAUCACCCUGGGGACGGGGGAGUCAGAAUAAAAGAUUAUUGGAGCUGGAUAAGAUCUAGGACAAGCUUCUCAUUUUACAAAUGAUAAAAGUAACUCUGAGAGAGAUUGUUUGAAUUUGCUUAGGUAUUACCGAUGAUCAGUGACAUAAAUUUAAGUCUAGGAAUUGGGUCUCUGGACUCCAGGGCUCUUUCUGGUUGCUAAAUGACUGAAAUAGAUUUUCAAUCUUAGGAUCAAAGGUUUAGAAGCAGGAAGAGCCCUCAGCUGUCAUCCAGUUCAUUUCCCUUCAUUUUAUAGAGGAGGAAACUGAACAGAGAGAUUAACUGAUUUACCUUAACUCAGAGAGGUAUCAUAUAUAUCAAUUCACUUUAUAAUUGUGAGAGUAACUGCAAAUGUGAGUUCAUUGGUCUAUGAAGAAACUUCAAUGCAGAUCAGCACCUUUACUUCAACUUAGGGUGUGACAGAUGGAGUUGCCAGAACUCUGAAAGGAUAAAUGAUCGCCAGGAUCACAUAGCCAGCAUGUCUCCAAGACAUCACUUGAAACCAGAUCUUCCUGGCCUCACCACACUGACUUUCUUAGAGGAAUAUGCCUUGCUUAUGCAGAGAGGUGGGGCCAAUUGAUGAAGUUAUAAUGGAGAAGAGAUAGUGAGGUCAUAAAUAAGUUACAAUAAAGUAUAAUUUGUUAUGGCUUUGUGAGGUAUAAAGUUGUUUAAGCAAGGUCUAUGGAAUUAGGGGCUCACUAACCACUAACUAUAUCCCCAGAGGCCCUUUAAAAAUCAAGAAACUCUAUGGCAUGAGUUGAGGUAGGAGACAGCUCUGAAGAAUAUGAGCCUUCUGAGUCUAGAAGAGAAUAUGCUAUGAAAGAACUUAAUUCUUGAGGGGAAGCCUUUCUCACCUCUGGGAUGAAAGGAAUUUCACUUGCCUCCAAUCCACAUAGACAUUAAAAUCAUUUCCCAGAUUCUAUCUGGGACUUCUCUCAGCAUCUACAGUUUCCUUGCUUUGGAAUACCAAACCAUCCCUGCAGCCCUCUCUCUCUGGAAUAUUUCUGCACUUGACUGACUCCUUUCUCCCAGAGAUGAGUUCCUUUUGAAUUCUCCAUUUUGUGAAAUGGCAUAGACCCAAACCCAGGUGAAGAAAUUUCCGAGUUCAGACCAAAGGAAUAACAAUCAGAAUUUGCCCUGGAUCCAACCCCCUUAGGAGCACUGAAAGUUUGCAUGUCCCCAGCAUCUUCUUGAGAUACUGAGACACUUAAUACUCCAAGAAGGCAAGCAGCAACAGGACCAGUCCGAACAUUCCCUCCAGAAGGGAACAGAGUAACCUGAACACCAAGUCUGAAGUCAGCAGCCUGAAAGAAUUUACAAACAAAGAAAACAAAAGUAUCCUACCUUAAUUAUGGCAAGGUUGCUCAAGACAACAAAUGCUGAAGAGAAUGAUUCCAAAACAUCUACAACUAUUGUCUCAGAGAAAAACACAGGUUGGG